rnacentral:rRNA from 1 species
UACAGAGGGUGCAAGCGUUGUUCGGAAUUAUUGGGCGUAAAGGGCGCGUAGGCGGUGCUGUAAGUCUGUAGUGAAAUCUCUGGGCUCAACUCAGAGUCUGCUAUAGAAACUGCAGUGCUAGAGUGUGGGAGAGGUGAGUGGAAUUCCCGGUGUAGCGGUGAAAUGCGUAGAUAUGUGGAGGAACACCGAUGGCGAAGGCAGCCCCCUGGGUCAAAACUGACGCUCAUGCACGAAAGCGUGGGGAGCAAACAGG